UAUGGGAGAGGGAAAGAAGAAAUCACAUCCUGAAAAACAGGAAGUGGCUCCAGAGGGGCUGGAGCCUCACAAUCUUUUGGAAGGCAGUAAGAAACCUUGUCAGAGCUCUCCCUCUUAAAGGCCCACGCCCUCCCAUUGCCACACGCAGAGGCCACAUCCCUUCUCCACCCAGGCUUUGCUAUGCCUUGUCAGCAGUAGGAAACCAUCUGGUAAAGGAAAGUCAAUUUGCAGAGGCUCAGCUUUGCCCCAGAGGGAAGAUGGAUGAACGGGAGAUUUUUGUAAGAUACACCAAGAAAACAACUGAAGGAAGGAGAAUUUCUUUGGCUCACUGUUUCUGGCUACAGCCAUGACGGCCGAGAAGUCACAGGGACAGGGUCCUGGAGCUUGAAAACUCUGGUCACAUUCCACCCACAGUUAGGAGCAGAGAACAAGGAGUCAACGUCCAUGCGUGUGAGCUCUCCAGCCUUACACACCCAUAGCUCCCUGCCCAGGGCAAGGUGCAGCCUACAAUUCACAAGUCUUCCUACCACAAUUAACAUACUCAAGACAACACCCCACCGACAGUCUCAGCCGCUCUUCUGUCAAGUGAUUCCCGAUUGUGUCAAGUUGACGAAACCAACCAGCAUGUGCACCACGUGCCACCAGCUCUCGUGCAUUCGUUUUUGGCACCAGGUUUCAGGUGACCUCAGUCUCACUAUGUAGUUGGAGUACAGGAGGCUCUGAUGGUCCAGCCCCCACUUUCUGAAUGCUGGAAUCACAGACGAUUGGGAUGUAGAGCUCUGUUUCUUCUCCAGCACCAUGUCUGGCUGCACACCACCAUGUUCCCACUACGAUGAUAAUGGACUAAACCUCUGUAAGUCAAGUGGUCCGUGCAUAAGAUGGGCAUAAGAACUGGCGAGGAGGAGCGUGCUCAAUCCCAGGAAUCUCAGAGGUCUGAGACAGCAGGAGUGGGGUGCUCCCUCUCUGCCUUAAUGCCUGCUCUGGAACUUAACCACUGCACCCAACUGAGGGGACUGUAGCACCCAGUCAUAUAGCACAGCACCUGGAAAGCCUCUCCAUGCAAACCAGGCAUCUCAAAACCUUAGCCUUCAGCCAAUGACCUUCCUCCCUUCCUGAACAUUCUCAUGUCCUUCCCCCAAGUUAUAUAAUCCUUGGUUCGCCCGAAUAAAGCAAAUUCGUCUAAGUCCAUCCCCAAUAAAACAAUAGGAACAAGCUAAAAGAGUCCCAAAGAGCUGCUUCAUUAGAGAUUGCCACUGGGGAAGGCCUUUGAUUAAAAGAGUGACACACUGAGACACCAGAAGAGAGCCUCUCUUUUCGGCACUCCCCACUCACUGCCAACCAGACCGGAAUCCUGCCAGUCCUGGAUUUCACUUUCCCUUUUCGACCUGGUGUGCAGCAGUGUCUGCUGUGAAUCCAGACACUGCCUGAGGAGAGGCAGAACACUGGAUCACAAACCUCUGAAAACUGUAAGCAAGCCCCAAUUAACUGCUCUCUCUAGUAAGAGUUACUUUGGUCAGUGUCUCUUCACAGCAAUAGAACAAUGUUGCCACUUGUUUCUUUCCUGCCUCAGCAUGGUACCCACGUUAAGUAAUGCAACUGAGAAGCUGGGGCUGGAAUUGACUCUCUGACAGAAACAAUACCAGAGGAAGAAGCCGGGAUUGUUUCCGUUGAGUCCAUGCUCACAGGACUUGCUUGGGCAGAGCGUCUUGGCAGUGGGAGCUCGGCAUGUCACCACCAUCUAGGAAAUAAAGAAGGGAACACUGGACCUCAGUUGGCUUUCUUCUUCCUUCCCUUUUAUUCAGUCUGGGGUCUCUGGUGGAUGGGAUGGUGCCAGUCACUUGCAGGGUGGAUCUUCCCGCAUCAGUGAGUGCUCUCUGAAAAUUCUCUUACAGACACACCUAUCGAUGCGCUCAGUGGUCUCCCAGGUAAUUCUAAAUCCAGCCAUGUUGACAGAGAAGAUUAACCACCACAGUGGGUUCAGAGAAGCUGUGUCAAAUUGCUUGGUGACCUUAACGACUCAGUUGCCCUUUCUUUGUUUCUGUUGUCUGGAUGAGAAAUGCCCACCCUAGGCUUGUAUUUGAGUACUUGGUCCCCAGGAGGUAGUGGUAUUUGGGAACUUGAAACCUUCAGAAGGAAGUGGGUCCUAGAAGAAAGUGGGUCAUAGAAGGAAGUGGGUCACCAGGGGUGGGCUUUGGGGAUUUAUAGCCCAGUCCCACUCCCUGUUCUCUCCUUCCUGCUCCCGUUGCCUCUCUUUCUCUACCACAAUUGACUAUGUCUCUUAGAACUGUGAGCCAAAAUAAACCAUUUCCCCCAUCCA
rnacentral:sRNA from 1 species